UGCUGCGUGGCAGGAGCUGCGGUAAGACGGAGGUGGCAAGAAUAACGCGGGUUUAUUGGGCGUAAAGGGCGCGUAGGCGGGCCUGCAAGGCAGAUGUGAAAUUCCGGGGCUCAAGCUCGGAGCUGCAUUUGAAACUGCGAGUCUAUAGAGGGAUGACGGAGAAAAGGGAAUUCCACGUGUAGCGGUGAAAUGCGUAGAUAUGUGGAAGAACACCAGUGGCGAAAGCGGUUUUCUAGUUAUCACCUGACGCUGAGGCGCGAGAGCAAGGGGAGCAAACAGGAUUAGAUACCCUAGUAGUC
rnacentral:rRNA from 1 species